rnacentral:rRNA from 1 species
GAUGAACGCUAGCGGCAGGCCUAAUACAUGCAAGUCGGACGGGAUUCAGGAGCUUGCUUCUGAUGAGAGUGGCGCACGGGUGCGUAACACGUAUGUAACCUACCUUUAUCAGGGGGAUAGCCUCUCGAAAGAGAGAUUAAGCCCGCAUAAAAUCACAGCACAGCAUUGUGUAAUGAUCAAAUAUUUAUAGGAUAAAGAUGGGCAUGCGGAACAUUAGCUAGAUGGCGGGGUAACGGCCCACCAUGGCGACGAUGUUUAGGGGAUCUGAGAGGAUGGCCCCCCACACGGGUACUGAGACACGGACCAGACUCCUACGGGAGGCAGCAGUAAGGAAGAUUGGUCAAUGGGCGGAAGCCUGAACCAGCCAUGCCGCGUGCAGGAAGACGGCCCUACGGGUUGUAAACUGCUUUUAUACGGGAAUAAACCCAGAUACGUGUAUCUGGCUGAAUGUACUGUAAGAAUAAGGAUCGGCUAACUCCGUG